GGGGCGUUAGCUCAGCUAGGUAGAGCAGUUGCCUCUUAAGCAAACGGUCGGAGGUUCGAUUCCUCCACGCCCCA
rfam:Candidatus Buchananbacteria bacterium RIFCSPHIGHO2_02_FTLL_38_8 rifcsphigho2_02_scaffold_7596, whole genome shotgun sequence.